GAUGAAGAACGUAGCAAAAUGCGAUAAGUAAUGUGAAUUGCAGAAUUCAGUGAAUCAUCGAAUCUUUGAACGCACCUUGCGCCCUUUGGCUAUUCCGAAGGGCAUGCCUGUUUGAGUAUCAUGAACACCUCAACUCUCAUGGUUUGCCAUGAUGAGCUUGGACUCUGGGGGUCUUGCUGGCCUAUGGUCAGCUCCUCUCAAAUAAAUCAGCUUGCCAGUGUUUGGUGGCAUCACAGGUGUGAUAACUAUCUACGCUUGUGGUUUUCCAUCAGGUAACCUUCAGUGAUGGAGGUUCGCUGGAGCUCAUAAAUGUCCCUCCUCAGCGAGGACAGCUUUUUGAACGUUUGAUCUCAAAUCAGGUAGGACUACCCGCUGAACUUAAGCAUAUCAAUAAGCGGAGGA
rnacentral:misc_RNA from 1 species